rnacentral:rRNA from 1 species
AUGGGCAACAAGAGGAAGAGGCUAGUGGGGUGGCCGCCGGUGAAGAGCGCGCACCGCCCGCGCAGCAACAGCCAUGUGAAGGUGAAGAUGGAAGGGGUGCCCAUCGGGAGGAAGGUGGACCUGUCCCGCCACGCCUCCUACCACCAGCUCCACCACACGCUCCGCCUCAUGUUCCCCUCCACUUCUCACCAUGGUGAUCCAUACGCCGUCACCUACGAGGACGUCGACGGGGACUGGGUACUCGUCGGGGACGUGCCGUGGGAGGACUUUGUCAGGUCGGCCAAGCGGCUCAAGAUACUACUCGUGUAA